rnacentral:lncRNA from 14 species
ACUGCUUCCUUAUGCAACCAGGAAUAAAAUCUCUCCUUCUGUUGACAGACAGCUCUGUGCUCUGUCACUGCAGUUCAGCUGGAAAAGGCAGAAACAGGGGAGGCUGAAGUGCAGCUCGCUUCUCCUUGCUGCUCCUGGACGGCUCUGACUGCUGCUGCUGCACUUUGUACAGCUGCAUAUCAGCUCCCUGAUGUGGGGUCCUGCAUGUGGGUCUGCAUAGCCACGGCACAGACUGAAGCCUCCCUCAUGAUCUGUACAGCUCAAAUAACCACAUUCUGGCCUGCUGCACACUUGAUCUGAACAACAUCAUCUAGUUCACUGCACUACUGCUCUUGCACAGGUCUUAUCACAUCACAAGCCUUUUACACCUAUUUAUCUUUCUGAAAUGCUCUGCAUAGAGUCCAGGUAGAAUUCAAAGUACUGUCUUUGACUUCUAAAGCUUUCAGUGGCCUAGAAUCUGGAUGGAAAUCACUGUUUUUGAGAUAUACCUGAGAAAAUUAGAUUGCUCUGCUAAAGAGAGCUAUUAGCUAUUAGCAGGCUAUUUUGGGAGACCAUACCUACUAUUUAUAUUUUCUGCUUCUGUAGUGGAUGAAAUCUUGAGCUGUUCCUGUGACAGGUUAUUGAAAAUUAUUUAAAGCAAUUAUUUUCACAAGUACUUUUUAAAAUUCCACUUAUAAAUUUCUACUUAUAGCCAACCUAUGUAAUGGGAUGGUGAGAAAGACAUAGAAUUACCCAAAAUUCUGUUUGCGGUAAAUGUGUUUCAGGGUUAGACAAUACUAGGGCAUCCGGAUG